rnacentral:rRNA from 1 species
AUUGAACGCUGGCGGAAUGCUUUACACAUGCAAGUCGAGCGGCAGCACGGGGGCAACCCUGGUGGCGAGCGGCGAACGGGUGAGUAAUACAUCGGAACAUGCCCAGUCGUGGGGGAUAACACUUCGAAAGAAGUGCUAAUACCGCAUACGUCCUGAGGGAGAAAGCGGGGGAUCUUCGGACCUCGCGCGAUUGGAGUGGCCGAUGUCAGAUUAGCUAGUUGGUGGGGUAAAGGCCUACCAAGGCAACGAUCUGUAGCUGGUCUGAGAGGAUGAUCAGCCACACUGGGACUGAGACACGGCCCAGACUCCUACGGGAGGCAGCAGUGGGGAAUUUUGGACAAUGGGGGCAACCCUGAUCCAGCCAUUCCGCGUGAGUGAAGAAGGCCUUCGGGUUGUAAAGCUCUUUCGGCAGGAACGAAACGGCGAGCUCUAACAUAGCUUGCUAAUGACGGUACCUGAAGAAGAAGCACCGGCUAACUACGUGCCAGCCGCCGCGGUAACAC